UACGAAGGGGGCUAGCGUUGUUCGGAAUUACUGGGCGUAAAGCGCACGUAGGCGGGUCGUUAAGUCAGGGGUGAAAUCCCGGAGCUCAACUCCGGAACUGCCUUUGAUACUGGCGAUCGUUGAGUUCGAGAGAGGUGAGUGGAACUGCGAGUGUAGAGGUGAAAUUCGUAGAUAUUCGCAAGAACACCAGUGGCGAAGGCGGCUCACUGGCUCGAUACUGACGCUGAGGUGCGAAAGCGUGGGGAGCAAACAGG
rnacentral:rRNA from 1 species